CGCACAUUGCGCCCCUUGGUAUUCCGGGGGGCAUGCCUGUUCGAGCGUCAUUAUCACCCCUCAAGCCUAGCUUGGUGUUGGGGCAUGCCUGUCACAGGGCAGCCCUUAAAAUCAGUGGCGAUGCCGUCCAGGCCCUAAGCGUAGUAACCAUUCCUCGCUACAGGGCUCGGGCAGCGUUCACCAAAACCCCCCAAUUUUAGAACGAUUGACCUCGGAUCAGGUAGGGAUACCCGCUGAACUUAA
rnacentral:misc_RNA from 1 species